AGGGUAAUCCAUGUCUGAUGUUUUAGAUUCACUGAAGUGCUGCGUGGAAACUGGAAGUGAGGUCUAUAUAAUUCCACAUCACGUCCAGUGCGCCACUUAGUAUGGGGAGCGAGCGGAACACAGGCGCAAUGUGUGGAUUGGAUCGAUCGCGUAGGGAUGCCUUGAGAGACUUGGCAGAAUUUGGUGUAAAGCUCAAAGGACCACCUUGCAGACAGAGAUAAGACGGCCUGCAGGUUCAUCCGUCAAAGCGGGAGCUCUCUCUGUCACGACCAUAGAUAUGGUCAUUGCUCACGACCAACAUCCUGUCAGUAAAGACCAGCGACGAACAUUGAGAUCCAGAGGAAGAUUGUCAUUAACUCUCGAAGUUCCAGAAUGGAGUGAAAAUGGCAGCCAUAUUGGUCAGGGAGAAAUCCAACCCAGUCUUAUUGGAAUGAAUGGCAGAAGAGGCAUAAUCCUGAUUUUGCUUAUGCAGGAAAAUAAAACAAAAACGUGAUGUAUCAAAAAUGGUAUAAUAUAGUUAUUGUCAACCUCAAAUAUUGUCAUAUAAUCAUAAAUACAGUUUACAAGAUUUAUAUAGGUUAUUGUUAUAAAUAGCUUCUA